AUUGAACGCUGGCGGCAUGCCUUACACAUGCAAGUCGAACGGCAGCGCGGACUUCGGUCUGGCGGCGAGUGGCGAACGGGUGAGUAACAUAUCGGAACGUGCCCUGGAGUGGGGGAUAACUAGUCGAAAGAUUAGCUAAUACCGCAUACGAUCUACGGAUGAAAGUGGGGGAUCGCAAGACCUCAUGCUCGUGGAGCGGCCGAUAUCUGAUUAGCUAGGUGGGGGGGUAAAGGACUACCAAGGCAUCGAUCAGUAGCUGGUCUGAGAGGACGACCAGCCACACUGGGACUGAGACACGGCCCAGACUCCUACGGGAGGCAGCAGUGGGGAAUUUUGGACAAUGGGGGCAACCCUGAUCCAGCAAUGCCGCGUGAGUGAAGAAGGCCUUCGGGUUGUAAAGCUCUUUUGUCAGGGAAGAAACGGUCCGGGCUAAUAUCCUGGGCUAAUGACGGUACCUGAAGAAUAAGCACCGGCUAACUACGUGCCAGCCGCCGCGGUAA
rnacentral:rRNA from 1 species